UAAAGCAUUUAAUAAAAAAAUAUGAACUGCGCAAAAGAGGUUUUGAAAUUCUCCCUCAGCAGCUCCUUUGCGGCCACCACAAUUGAACCUUCCUCAUCUAUUUCGUACGCGUGCUCGCCCGAUAUUCCUCCUUUAUCAAUCGUACCAGAUAUUAUAUUUUUGGCCCAUCCUAGAAGACUAGAGUUAUUUGGAAAUGAAUUUAAGAAAAGAGCACAUUCCUUUUCAGCAAAAGAUGGCCUAGUAUAAUUUGAAAACGUGGUUAAGAAGGUUGAGCCGUAGAUGCUUGGAUUGAACUAUAUUUGAUUAAUAAUUAUCUUAUCGGUUUCAAGUGCUGUGUCCCUGACUGCAAGCUAGGCUACAAUAACAGUGAAAAAUUCUCUGAUGGGAGUUUUCAUCGAUUUCCAUAAAAAUGUAUAUAAUUGUUUCCAAUCUUGGACAUUGGACGGAAAAACGAACGGCAUUCACUCUUUCCGUUCAUUUUUGAACGAAUGAAAGGUGAACGGUGAAAAAAAUAUGAACGGCGUUCAUUUUGACGUUAAUUUUCUUACUGUCCAUAAGAAGUAGCUUUUUGACUAUUUUUUCGGAAGUUAACUGCAUCUUUUUUUCUUGAUUAUGGGUAUAAUUAUUAUCUUUGAUGGGGGCUAAAAUAUAAUUUAUUUAGUCUAUUUUUUUUCAAUUCGUGCUUCGUUUAAUUGUACCAUUCACUGGAAAACAAGUCAUCUCAAGAUAGCCUUCAAAAUUACACAUAUGAUAUAAUAGAUCAAAUAAAAUUUAUUUUUCGAGUAUCUUGUUAAGUUUUUAUCCUAUCUGAUCAUGCGAAGUACAUAAAUUUUAAACCAACAUUAGCACCUUCAAUCUUUAUUACUGCGCAAUAUCAAAGUACUUUGUCUGAAUUUUUAACCUCUCUUUUUCAAUAUCUAUCAUUGAUUGUAAUGGGAAGAUUUCAUAUACUCAAAUUCCAUAAUUUAAAAUUCAAUUGUAGGUAUUUAAGAAUAUCAACUUCUGUACAAUAUUGUACUCUGUAAUUCCUGAAAAUUUCAUUGAAUUCUCUUGGUGUUUAAGAAAGUUGCGUUGUUUUAUUGAAAUAUCCUAACUACUAGAUCACCGAUUUUGGUGUAGGAAAUUCGAGUAGGACACCAUGAGAUAGCAAAAAUAUAGGAGAUAAAUAUAUAUAAGAGUGCAAAUGUUGUUUGAAUAUUUAUCUCUUGGGUAGAUAAAAUUCAAAAUACAACUUACCUACUCUUGUACGCAGGGGAAUCCUUGAUUAUUUGGCAAUCCUUGAGAUGAAAGAUCUCAUAUUAUUUUAUGAGAACGAAAAGAGGGAGGAACAGACACACGGCGCAUAAAUUAGAAGAAGAAAUUAUAAAAAGAAUAAUCCUUUUGUCGUAUUAAUAAUUAAUAUAAUCUAUUAAGGAUCAUGUCUGUGUUUUCAACUCUGUUUCGGGAAGAAAUAUAGUGGAUCCAAAUUCUGCGAUAUGAUGCAAUUUAUUCCAUGGAUACCUCCAAUAUCCGAUUCACUGUUAAAUCUCAACUCGGAUUCUAACACUAGCUAAGUAUCGUAUGGAGUCUUUCGAAGUCUGAGUCGCUUCACUUCAACUCAUGGAACCUCGGGAAGUAAUCAACUUUGCAAAGAUGUGCUAUAAUUGUCGAGUCUUGUUUGCUCCUAUCUUCAACUCCAGAAAGUUGAAUCCUAAUUUCCAAUACGAUCCUAUAUUUCAUUGAGACUCUUUCAUGUCAAAAUUUAUAUUACCCUCAUAAUAUGUUGGAUCAAUUAUGAAGAGAUCCUUCAUUUACUUCAACAAUCUAGAGUUAUCAUUUGUAUUCCGUUAGAUGAUGUUAUAACCUUUUACAUUCUUUGGUUUUAUUUAUCAAUAUUAAUUAUUAAUUUCUACACCACUAUUUCCUUUUGACAUCUUAGCAUUACCGUUCUACAAAAUCCAAGUUAUCCUCUUUGUUGAGAAAGGGUGCAUUCCCUAACUUGGAAGAUUCAUAUUCGAUUUAUUAAUAAGCAAGGAAGUCAAUGGACUACCUUGCACCUCGAUAACUAAUGUAUUUAGGAAUACAAAACAGAGUUGAGCUCCUACAGGAUUAAGGAACUAAUAGAUUACAAUUUGCCACUCCGUUAUUUCUGAAUAUAGUUUCUCAUUGAUUCAAUAAUUAAAGAUUGUUUUCAUAUUGUCUAAUUUAUUAUUUUAUUAAUCAAUUAAUUUAAUAUUAUGAUUUAUAAUAUAUAAUUCAUAAAAGAA
rnacentral:lncRNA from 1 species